GGUUAAGCGACUAAGCGUACACGGUGGAUGCCCUGGCAGUCAGAGGCGAUGAAGGACGUGCUAAUCUGCGAUAAGCGUCGGUAAGGUGAUAUGAACCGUUAUAACCGGCGAUUUCCGAAUGGGGAAACCCAGUGUGAUUCGUCACACUAUCAUUAACUGAAUCCAUAGGUUAAUGAGGCGAACCGGGGGAACUGAAACAUCUAAGUACCCCGAGGAAAAGAAAUCAACCGAGAUUCCCCCAGUAGCGGCGAGCGAACGGGGAGCAGCCCAGAGCCUGAAUCAGUGUGUGUGUUAGUGGAAGCGUCUGGAAAGGCGCGCGAUACAGGG
rnacentral:rRNA from 1 species